UAAUACUAAAUAGACGUAAUACAGUUAUUGUUAUGGAAAAGACCAAACUUGAAUAUAUUAGGCUCAUGUGUCAAAUGAAAAUGACUGGAGCAAUUUGUAAGCAGUAAGUAAAUUUUCCAAAAUUAUGUAGAAAGAUAUUGUUUGCUUUAACUAUUUGUUUAAUUACGUUUUCACGGUCUACGUUAUUUUUAUAUUUUAAAUCUUUCUAACUACAGAUCUAUUCUUGGAAGGAUUUUAUGAUAUUAUGCUUAAACGACCAAUUUUCAUAUUUAAUGAACAAGAACUUGAACUAUUGAUCAGUGGCUUGCCUACUGUAAAGAUCUUAAAGGAGGAUCUUAAAGCAAAUAUUGACUAUCAUAAAUACACUGCUACGUUUUGAUAUUUUGUAUUAGCUCAAGUUUGAAAGACUUGAAUUAUACCAUCUUUUUUCCACUCACUGAUUCAAUGGUUCUGGUGCAUUGCGAGGUUUUAAUCAAGCGGAUUGUUCGAAGAUCUUACAAUUCAUCACUGAUACAUCUAAAAUGCCGUUACAAGGUUUUGCUGCGUUAGAAGGCAUGAAUGGCAUACAAAAGUUCCAAAUUCACAGAGAAGACAAGUUGACAGACAGGCUUUCAUUUGCACAUAUUUGUUUCAAUCAACUGGAUUUGCCAGUGUACGAGACGUAUGAUAAACUCUGAACAAAUCUACUCAAGGCGACUUACGAAUGCACCAAAGAAUUUGGAUUUGCAUAAGCUUACCAGAAUUUGCUCCUGUACAAUUUCGAUUUCAUGCGUUCAAUCGAUGAUAUUCUGGAGACCAAACUUAUGGUUGGAUCUUUACAGCCAGUGAUAACAUUCCGGACGUGCAAUGGUCUAUUGCUUGCAAAAUUUUUAACGUACUUACAAAAAUUGUUAUACGCAAUGCUAUAUGUAAAAUUAUCUUGUGAACGUAGCGAAUCACAGUGCUCUAAUUGCUAUAAUAUGUAUUAUUACACUUAUACGACUUUAUAAAUACAAAAUAUAUAUUUUCGUUUUAUCAUACACAUUAACUCUCAUGUAAUUAAUGGACAAUAAUUUAUUCGUUAAUAUAUACGCUGAUAAAUACGCUGA